AUACGUAGGGGGCGAGCGUUGUUCGGAAUGAUUGGGCGUAAAGGGCGCGUAGGCGGCCCGGUAAGUCUGGAGUGAAAGUCCUGUUUUUAAGAUGGGAAUUGCUUUGGAUACUGUCGGGCUUGAGUGCAGGAGAGGUAAGUGGAAUUCCCAGUGUAGCGGUGAAAUGCGUAGAAAUUGGGAGGAACACCAGUGGCGAAGGCGACUUACUGGACUGUAACUGACGCUGAGGCGCGAAAGUGUGGGGAGCAAACAGGAUUAGAUACCCUGGUAGUCCACAUUGUAAACGAUGAAUGCUAGGUGUAGGGGGUAGCGACCCCUUCUGUGCCGCAGUCAACACAAUAAGCAGUCCGCCUGGGGAGUACGGCCGCAAGGUUGAAACUCAAAUGAAUUGGCGGGG
rnacentral:rRNA from 1 species